UCCCUGGUAGUAUAUCGGAUUAGUACACGCGCCUGUCAUCCUAGCUAAUCGCGCGAGAGCGGGGUUCGACUCCCCGCCAGGGAG